rnacentral:rRNA from 1 species
UACGUAGGGUGCAAGCGUUAAUCGGAAUUACUGGGCGUAAAGCGUGCGCAGGCGGUUGUGCAAGACAGAUGUGAAAAUCCCCGGGCUCAACCUGGGAACUGCAUUUGUGACUGCACGGCUGGAGUGCGGCAGAGGGGGAUGGAAUUCCGCGUGUAGCAGUGAAAUGCGUAGAUAUGUGGAGGAACACCGAUGGCGAAGGCAGCCCCCCUGGGUCGACACUGACGCUCAUGCACAAAAGCGUGGGGAGCAAACAGG